CACUAGGGGGCACAGGGAGAAAUGGGGACACUGAGAGACAUAGGGACAUUGGGAGACACUGAGAUACUAGGGACCCAGUGUCCCCAUGUCUCCCAAUGUCCCCUAGUCACUCAGUGUCUCUAUGUCUCCCAGUGUCCCCAAGUGU